GUAGUCCACGCCGUAAACGAUGAGUGCUAAGUGUUAGGGGGUUUCCGCCCCUUAGUGCUGCAGCUAACGCAUUAAGCACUCCGCCUGGGGAGUACGACCGCAAGGUUGAAACUCAAAGGAAUUGACGGGGACCCGCGCAAGCGGUGGAGCAUAGUGGUUUAAUUCGAAGCAACGCGAAGUAACCUUACCAAAUCUUGACAUCCUCUGACCCCUCUAGUAGAUUAGAGGUUUUUCCCCUUCGGGGGUACAGAGUGACAGGUGGUGCAUGGUUGUCGUCAG
rnacentral:rRNA from 1 species